rnacentral:lncRNA from 1 species
CAACGUAAUUCUUGUACGUUUCCUUAAUUUAUGACGCUUGUACACUAUAUCAAAUAAUUAAUCUAGCUGUCUUUGCUUUUUAUACUCUGUUGCCAAACUUUGUAAUAAGCAUUUUCUCUCACCAGAACUGCAAGAUCACUGGACCGUAGACCGCAGUGCUGAAAUGAAGCAACAGCGGCUGUGAAAUGUGUCAUUUGGAGACUACAGGCUACUAACUGCAGUCAUUUUCUUGUAAAGACGAGACGACCUCAAACUUGAUAUGACACACACGUCUAAGAGAGGAUGAAGACAGAGGUGUCAGAGGAUGUCUGUCUUACUCUGCUCCCGUCUCGGCUGGCAGAUGGAGACCCUAGGUGAGUGGAUCACUGGCCAGAAUCCCGUCUGGACUGAAGGGGUCCCAGGACAUCCUCUACUUAGUCAGGUAGUCUUCAACUCACCCCCACUUAUCUCCCAUUCUCUAUCUAUUGACAGGUAAGUGCCGUCAUUCCCUCACAGCCCAAACAAUAGCUCUCUAGGCAGGGAUCCUGUAGUCAGGCUAAAGAGAACCCAACCAGGCAUCACAGACAGACAGGGGCUUGACAUUGGCAGGACAAACGGCUGCAGACAGACAGAGCUCUCUGUCCCCGCUCCCCAGCGAAGUAUAGUGAAUUUACCUCUUUACGCUGAUCCUGGGUCAGUUUUGCAUUUCCCCCACUAAUGGUUAAGAUCACGAUUGGGAGGGGGAAUCUGAUCCCAGAUCUGUACCUAGGGGAACCUCACCCCGGGGGCCCUCAGACGACUAGCCCUAUACACACCCUUGUUGUCUCUGAGUCACACCUCCAGGUGUGGACAGUUUAAUGGUCAGCAACAUGAAAAGCCCCAGUCUGACCAGCUCACCGACACUGAUCACCUCAGCAUGAAAACACACA